rnacentral:rRNA from 1 species
GAUGAACGCUGGCGGCGUGCCUAAUACAUGCAAGUCGAGCGAACAGACGAGGAGCUUGCUCCUCUGACGUUAGCGGCGGACGGGUGAGUCACACGUGGAUAACCUACUUAUAAGACUGGGAUCACCUCGGGAAACCGGAGCUAAUACCGGAUAAUAUAUUGAACCGCAUGGUUCAAUAGUGAAAGACGGUUUUGCUGUCUCUUAUAGAUGGAUCUGCGCCGCAUUAGCUAGUUGGUAAGGUAACGGCUUACCAAGGCGACGAUGCGUAGCCGACCUGAGAGGGUGAUCGGCCACACUGGAGCUGAGACACGGACCAGACUCCUACGGGAGGCAGCAGUAGGGAAUCGUCCGCAAUGGGCGAAAGCCUGACGGAGCAACGCCGCGUGAGUGAUGAAGGUCUUCGGAUCGUAAAACUCUGUUAUUAGGGAAGAACAAAUGUGUAAGUAACUAUGCACGUCUUGACGGUACCUGAUCAGAAAGCCACGGCUAACUACGUG